GACGAACGCUGGCGGCGCGCCUAACACAUGCAAGUCGAACGGAGUUUACUUUUCAGAUCCCUUCGGGGUGAAGAGUUGUAAACUUAGUGGCGGACGGGUGAGUAACACGUGAGUAAUCUGCCUUUGUGAGGGGGACAACAGUUGGAAACGACUGCUAAUACCGCAUGAUGUGUUUUUCCCGCAUGAGAGAAACACCAAAGAUUUAUCGCACAAAGAUGAGCUCGCGGCUGAUUAGAUAGUUGGCGGGGUAACGGCCCACCAAGUCGACGAUCAGUAGCCGGACUGAGAGGUUGAUCGGCCACAUUGGGACUGAGACACGGCCCAGACUCCUACGGGAGGCAGCAGUGGGGGAUAUUGCACAAUGGGGAAACCCGUACGAUGCAGCGACGCCGCCGUGAGGGAGUGAAGG
rnacentral:rRNA from 1 species